rnacentral:rRNA from 12 species
ACCAAAUUCUCAACGAUGGAUAUCUUGGUUCCCAUAACGAUGAAGAACGCAGCGAAGUGCGAUAAGCAAUGCGAAUUGCAGAACCGUGAGUCAUCAGAUUUUUGAACGCAACUGGCGCCGAUUGGUUAUCCAGUCGGCAUGCUUGUUUCAGUG